ACUAAAAUAGUUUAUAUAAAAUAUUAAUUUUGUAAAUUAAAGAUGUCUUUCUUUUAGUA
rnacentral:tRNA from 1 species